GUGGGCCCUACUAUGUACUAGCAACGUUCCAGUGUUUGGAUACAUAACACCAGUGAAUAUAAAACAAAGAUCCUUGCUCCAGUGGAGCUUACAUUCUAGUAGGAGAAGACAAAUAAUAAUCAAUAAACAUAAUAAGUAAAGUGUAUAGUAUGUCAGAGGGUGGUAAGUAUAAUGGAAAAAAACAGAAGGGAGAUCAGGAGUGCCAUAGGACUUCAGGAAAAGUUAAGGUUUUUAAAAGGGUAGUGAGAGUACAUCUCAUUGAGAAGAGACAUUUGAGCAAAGACUUAAAGGAGGAGAUGAGUUAGCCGUAGGGAUAUCUGGGGGAAGAGCACUCCAGUAAAGAGAAUAGGCAGUGCCAAAUCCUUACGACCAGAGCAUCCUGGAGGAGUCCCAGGAAAAGUAAGGAUGGCACUGUAGCUGGAGUAGAAUGAACAAGGAGUAAAGUAGGAGAUGAGGUUACAAAGUGGAGGGUGAAGACUUCACUACAUAGGAUCUUAUAAAGAUUUUGGCGUGUAGUAGUUGUGGAAUGAGAAGCCAAUGGAAGGUUUGAGCAAAGGAGUGACCGGGUCUGAUUUUCCAAUCUGCUGGGAGAAGAAGAGACUGUGGACAGAACAGAGUGGAAGGAGACCAGUCAGGAGGCCACUGUAGUAAUCCAGAUGAGAAAACUGCAGUGGGUGCGUAAGUAAUCUGCCAGAGGUCAAGUAAAUAGGAGACCCCAAGGAAGAACCUUGCACUUACCACCAUGUAGGGACACAGAGAAAAGAUGGCUGUCCAUGAAACAUGAAGCAGGUCCUCACCAGACACCAAAUCUGCUGGUACCUUGACCCUGCACUUCUCCACGUCCAGAAUUGUGAGAAAUAACAGUUUGUGGGGCGCCUGAGUGGCUCAGUUGGUUAAGCGUCCGACUUCGGGUCAGUUUGU